rnacentral:rRNA from 1 species
GAUGAACGCUGGCGGCGUGCUUAACACAUGCAAGUCGAACGAAGCAUUUAGAACAGAUUAUUUCGGUAUGAAGUUCUUUAUGACUGAGUGGCGGACGGGUGAGUAACGCGUGGGUAACCUGCCUUGUACUGGGGGAUAGCAGCUGGAAACGGCUGGUAAUACCGCAUAAGCGCACAAUGUUGCAUGACAUGGUGUGAAAAACUCCGGUGGUAUAAGAUGGACCCGCGUCUGAUUAGCUAGUUGGUGAGAUAACAGCCCACCAAGGCGACGAUCGGUAGCCGGACUGAGAGGUUGAACGGCCACAUUGGGACUGAGACACGGCCCAGACUCCUACGGGAGGCAGCAGUGGGGAAUAUUGCACAAUGGGGGAAACCCUGAUGCAGCGACGCCGCGUGGAGGAAGAAGGUCUUCGGGAUUGGUAAACUCCUGUUGUUGAGGAAGAUAAUGACGGUACUCAACAAGGAAGUGACGGCUAACUACGUGCCAGCA